CCGCAUUCUCAGGGCAGGGUGAAAUUCCCUACUGGCGGUCAAGCCCGCGAGCGUUUGUUAUAAGGCAAAGUCAGCAGAUUUGGUGAAAUUCCAAAGCCAACAGUUACAGUCUGGAUGAAAGAGAGUAAAC
rnacentral:ncRNA from 2 species